rnacentral:lncRNA from 12 species
AUCCUAAAAAAAAAAAAACUCACAAAGCUAAAAGCCACCCGAGCAAAGGUGCAGGUGAGCUUGGGAGCUCUCCAGGAAUCGACCGUGGCUUCAGAAAAGGAAGAGGUUUCAACUUUUAAUUUCUAAAAUGUUGGCUGAUGACUCCUUUUUGCUUAGGGAAAAUGUCAUUGAUAAAUCCUGAAGCUAAAUGUAGAAACUCUGGAGGGGGAAAAAAAACCAAAAAAACUAACGGUGGGAUGAGAUGUGGUUUUUAGAGCUAGAGAAAAUGUCCUGGAAAAUUCUUGGUAACCGAAAACUAACUCGUGAAGCCGGGAACUUCCAAACCAAACACAUCUCCUAAUUCAUUCCUCUGUUGAGUAAUUCUUUGUGGACUGACUUGAGGGGAGGCAUCCAAUAAAAUCUAAUCGUUGGCGUGCAAAUACGCUAGGGCUUUUAUGGGUGACAAUAAAAUGUAGUUUAUCUGGGAAUCAGGUAUUAGCUUCGUGGAAGAGAUUUCUGUGUGUGUGUGUGUGUGUGUGUGUGUGUGUUUAAAAUUUUUUGGCAGCCCUAGGAAAGCUGCAGCAUCCCACAAGGCGCUGCCUAAAACGUUGGGAUUCGAGCAUGAAGUCGCAGCCUCUGCCUUCGUGCUUACGUUCUACGCCCGGAUCGGAGACGGGAUUCACAAAUAAAACCUGGGUUUCCCUUAGGCAGCAUUUACCGUGUGCGGCGUGGUCCGCGGCCGAGGGAAGGAUGUGCAGGGCCUGGGACUCGGUAAAUCAUGGCAGAUUGCACGUUGAAGAACACAGGCGGUGGACACAAUGCUGA